UUGCGGCCAUAUCACGUUGAAAAACCGGUUCCAGUAUGAUCACCGAAGUUAAGUAACGUCGAGCCUGGUUAGUAUUUCGAUAUGUAACUACUUGGGAAUAACAGGUGCUGUAA